UACGAAGGGGGCUAGCGUUGCUCGGAAUCACUGGGCGUAAAGGGUGCGUAGGCGGGUCUUUAAGUCAGGGGUGAAAUCCUGGAGCUCAACUCCAGAACUGCCUUUGAUACUGAGGAUCUUGAGUACGGGAGAGGUGAGUGGAACUGCGAGUGUAGAGGUGAAAUUCGUAGAUAUCCGGAGGAACACCGGUGGCGAAGGCGGCAUCCUGGACCGGCAUUGACGCUGAGGCGCGAAAGCCAGGGGAGCAAACGGG
rnacentral:rRNA from 1 species